GUUCUUGCUUCAUGAGUACAUAUACUAAAAUUGGAAUGGUACAGAGAAGAUUAGCAUGACCCCUGUGCAAGGAUUAUGCGCAAAUUCAUGAAGCAGUGUAUAUCUGU
rnacentral:snRNA from 1 species